GACGAACGCUGGCGGCGUGCGUAAUACAUGCAAGUAGAACGCUGAAGGAGGAGCUUGCUUCUCUGGAUGAGUUGCGAACGGGUGAGUAACGCGUAGGUAACCUGCCUGGUAGCGGGGGAUAACUAUUGGAAACGAUAGCUAAUACCGCAUAAGAGUAGAUGUUGCAUGACAUUUACUUAAAAGGUGCAAUUGCAUCACUACCAGAUGGACCUGCGUUGUAUUAGCUAGUUGGUGGGGUAACGGCUCACCAAGGCGACGAUACAUAGCCGACCUGAGAGGGUGAUCGGCCACACUGGGACUGAGACACGGCCCAGACUCCUACGGGAGGCAGCAGUAGGGAAUCUUCGGCAAUGGACGGAAGUCUGACCGAGCAACGCCGCGUGAGUGAAGAAGGUUUUCGGAUCGUAAAGCUCUGUUGUAAGAGAAGAACGAGUGUGAGAGUGGAAAGUUCACACUGUGACGGUAUCUUACCAGAAAGGGACGGCUAACUACGUGCCAGCAGCCGCGGUAAUACGUAGGUCCCGAGCGUUGUCCGGAUUUAUUGGGCGUAAAGCGAGCGCAGGCGGUUAGAUAAGUCUGAAGUUAAAGGCUGUGGCUUAACCAUAGUACGCUUUGGAAACUGUUUAACUUGAGUGCAAGAGGGGAGAGUGGAAUUCCAUGUGUAGCGGUGAAAUGCGUAGAUAUAUGGAGGAACACCGGUGGCGAAAGCGGCUCUCUGGCUUGUAACUGACGCUGAGGCUCGAAAGCGUGGGGAGCAAACAGG
rnacentral:rRNA from 1 species